ACUUAUCUGGCCAAUUGGAUGAUUAGAUUUAUUAAUAGCUAAGGAGUUUUGGUUUAGCCCAUGCUAAUUAAAUUGGUCAUGUGAUGACUGAUUAGAUGAGACCUUAACUAAACCUCCUUAAUUAAUAUUAAGCCUUAUGAUCUUUCGUUGUUGUAGAAGUAUGGAUAUGGUACUGACGUUGAUUAUUCUUAACUGAUUACAGUGGUUUAGUUGUAUCAAAAACAUGCAACUACUCUACUAGCAAAGAGUUGCUCCAGGGUGAAGAUCGGGUUGGGCCCAAUA
rnacentral:lncRNA from 1 species